rnacentral:rRNA from 1 species
UACGAAGGGGGCUAGCGUUGCUCGGAAUGACUGGGCGUAAAGGGCGCGUAGGCGGUUUGCACAGUCAGAUGUGAAAUUCCUGGGCUCAACCUGGGGGCUGCAUUUGAUACGUGUAGACUUGAGUGGGGAAGAGGGUCGUGGAAUUCCCAGUGUAGAGGUGAAAUUCGUAGAUAUUGGGAAGAACACCGGUGGCGAAGGCGGCGACCUGGUCCUUGACUGACGCUGAGGCGCGAAAGCGUGGGGAGCGAACAGG